CAAUAGCGUAUAUUUAAGUUGUUGCAGUUAAAAAGCUCGUAGUUGGAUUUCGGGUAGGAUUUGCCGGUCCGUCUUUGAGAUGUGUACUGGUAAGUCCUAUCUUCUUGUCGGGGACCAGCUCCUGGGCUUCACUGUCCGGGACUGGGAGCCGACGAAGUUACUUUGAGUAAAUUAGAGUGUUCAAAGCAAGCCUACGCUCUGAAUAUAUUAGCAUGGAAUAACACGAUAGGACUCUGGCUUAUCUUGUUGGUCUGUGAGACCAGAGUAAUGAUUAAGAGGGACAGUCGGGGGCAUUCGUAUUCCGUUGUCAGAGGUGAAAUUCUUGGAUUUACGGAAGACGAACAUCUGCGAAAGCAUUUGCCAAGGAUGUUUUCAUUG
rnacentral:rRNA from 1 species